rnacentral:rRNA from 1 species
UACGGAGGGUGCAAGCGUUGCUCGGAAUUAUUGGGCGUAAAGCGCACGUAGGCGGAUCGAUCAGUCAGGGGUGAAAUCCCAGGGCUCAACCCUGGAACUGCCUUUGAUACUGUCGAUCUGGAGUAUGGAAGAGGUGAGUGGAAUUCCGAGUGUAGAGGUGAAAUUCGUAGAUAUUCGGAGGAACACCAGUGGCGAAGGCGGCUCACUGGUCCAUUACUGACGCUGAGGUGCGAAAGCGUGGGGAGCAAACAGG